AAAACAGGUUUCUGCUGUGAAUAGUGUAUGAACGAGGUGCCUGCGCUUUAUCUGUGUGGAAUUGAUAUCAAGAGAUUUUGGAUGCACAAUUUUUGUUUUUUGGAGCUGCUGGUGAUCGUUUGUCUUGGAACUCUG